CUCGUUUUUUAAAAAAAGAUACAGCUUUUACCCCAAUUCAAAUGACCCAUGCUAAGGGGCAUUUGCCACGAAAUGUUUGUGGAAGCCUCGUAUUCACUUGUGAGAGAUUCGGGACAAAUAUGAACUUCCUGUGCAAGAAUCGGUUCCUGAUCCAGGAUAAAAGAAACAUUAAAAACUACACUGCCCUGCUGAUUUCUGUGCUGAAGCUGUCUUUGCUAAAAGCAAUUCCUGACACGUCAUAAAUCUCACCUUUUCCCAGCAUGAAGCAAACGGAAACCUUCGCUGAUUUGGCUGAAUGGCAAAGUGUGGGUUAUUAAAGCAUCAGAGUUAAAUUUCUUCGCCAUGUAACUGGACACCAGUUGAGGAAUAGAAUCUUUCAUCUUCCAACCUGAAAACAAACAAAAUUAUCUGCCACAUCUUGCAUGAUGUUGUCAAGAUUCAUCCUCAUCGGAAUUUUUGCAUGUUCCAGCACAAAAUGUGUGCUGCAAUCAUCCCCAGCCUACAUGACCAAUAGCCACAGCUGAUGAGUAUCCUAGUUCAAAGCAUCUGGAGGACAGCAUGAUUGGGGAAAGUAGUGAGAAGCUUAAUCCUGUGUCCCAGGCACAAACUUCUAAGAGUCAAGAUGAAAGGAUUAUGACAUAUGGUUAUGAAUCCAAACUAUCUGAUGUAAUUGACUGUCCAUGGGGCCAUUAUUAUCUUCAUUUAAGCAUUCUUAUAUAUCAAUUAGUAAUUUUUGUGUCCUGAACAACAAAAUUAAGGGGAAAAAAAUCAUAUAUCAAUGUGUUCACACCUCUGUCAUGCCCCAUCAUACCUCCA